GUGAAUCAUCGAAUUUUUGAACGCAAAUUGCACUCUCCUCGGAGAGUAGGCGUGUUUGAGGGUCAGCCUAUAAAAAUUCGCCAUCGCUGCUGUUUCGCGGUGGCGGUCGUCGGGAAUUGGGUCAUCUUAAAUCUUUUGGUUUUAAGCGACUUAAAAUUUUAUAUUUGGUUCCAUGAACGUUUCUAAGAUUUAUUUCUUUACACGUUUAAGGUUUCGCUUAUUAUUAG
rnacentral:misc_RNA from 1 species